UCCUACGGGAGGCAGCAGUGGGGAAUUUUCCGCAAUGGGCGAAAGCCUGACGGAGCAAUGCCGCGUGGAGGAUGACAGCCUGUGGGUCGUAAACUCCUUUUCUCAGAGAAGAAGUUCUGACGGUAUCUGAGGAAUAAGCAUCGGCUAACUCCGUGCCAGCAGCCGCGGUAAGACGGAGGAUGCAAGCGUUAUCCGGAAUGAUUGGGCGUAAAGCGUCUGUAGGUGGUUCAGUAAGUCUCCUGUUAAAGAUCAGGGCUUAACCCUGAGUCGGCAGUAGAAACUACUGAGCUUGAGUACGGUAGGGGCAGAGGGAAUUCCCGGUGUAGCGGUGAAAUGCGUAGAGAUCGGGAAGAACACCAAUGGCGAAAGCACUCCUGCUGGGCCGAACCUGACACUCAGAGACG
rnacentral:rRNA from 1 species